rnacentral:lncRNA from 1 species
GGGAGGCUUAUGAACCACAGAAGUUUAUUUAUCACAGUUCUGGAGGCUGGGAAGUCUCAGAUCAAGGCGCUGGCAGAUUUAGUGUCUAAGGAGAGCCUGUUUCCUGUUUCAUAGAUGGCACCUUCUCACUGUGUCCUCAGAUGGCAGAGAAGAGGAAGCUAACUCUCUUGGGACUCUUAUUGGUCUUCCUCUUCUCCACUGCUUUUGUCGAACGUGUUCAAAAGGAUUUGAAACCAACUAUUGGAGGAAGAAAAUCAAUCACUCUCCUUUGUCUCCUAUUGGGACCACUGCCCCACCCCCCCCAACAAAAGGAUAAAUUCCUGGAAAGUGUAAAGGGAAGAAAGCCCCUCCAUUGGGAAAUAGGUUGGUGUCAGGCUACUUGCUUGUCUGAUUCUUCACAAUGAUAAAGGCCAGCAGAGAAAGUUCAGUGCAAAAGUUCAUCAGCCACCAGGCCAUCAGGAGCAUCUAUUGAUCAAAUCAAAUGUUCACUUCAAACUGCGUUUCUUAACCUGCAGGUGUAGAAUCACCCAUAACAGAUACAGUCACACCUAUCUCUGCACAUACUUGUACGUUCAGGACAACCUGAUGUAUUACAAUUAACAACAUGGUGUCAGUACUGCAGAAGGAUUCACUUGUAUAAAAUAUCCACCAGAGAAAUCGCCUGGAAGUUACUUUCUAAUCUCCUUGACUCUUCCUCGGUACCUUGUGGAAUAGAUGUGGGCUGGUAAGAGGUCUCCGACAGCUGGGGUAUAGCUUCUGGAUGGUCAUAUAAAUUGAACAGAGGAUAAGUGGAGCCCUUUUUUCAUCUCUUCCAAAAUAUGAAACAUUGCACUGAUCUCGGUGGAAAUAAAUGCCAAAGAGUCAGAUCAUUUAAGAGCGGAGGAAAAGAUUUUUCUGGAGAAGAAGCUCAAUUUAAUAAAUCCUUUGCCGAGGGAUUUGCUCAAACUUUUGGUACUCACCCAAGCAUUUGUCUGAAAAGAGUUUUGUCUUCUCUCGCCAUUGUUGCAAGAUACUGGUAAGGAAAGCUGUUUGAACUUCCUCAAAACAUCAACAUUUAAUACUCCUUAAGUUUCCAACAGGAAAACGAGGUAAGUUAAUAUUUUCCCAUGUUGAUACAUAAUUGAAUUAGAGUUUUACUUAACUUAAUAAAUUGCCACCUGGGGUAAUAGAACCAUGAACAGCACUUAAUUUCAGGUCUGCAUUAACUGUGCUUUCUCACUGCCCCGGUCUGAGUGCCUGUUACCACGGCUCCCAAAGGCAUCAGGGUAAGAAAAUCAUUUUCAAGAAAGUUCUGGGAACAAACUGUGUUAGCUUGGGGAGGCUGAAGGUGGGAAAUUAGGGUCAUGUUCAUGCCUGAGUGCACUGUACCAUAACACACACUGUGGUUGUAGUUUAUAUUAUAAUACGUCAAGACUAAGGAGGUACUCCCGGCUCAGAUCAGGUAGUCCUCUGCAACUAUCUAGACCAGCGAUGUACAGUGCAUCUCCAGCUUUAUAUUGCUGGGAGGAGAACUGGACUUCCAAAAGUUUUGAUGUAACUUCACUCAUGAAGAUUUACUAUGCUCAGUUCCACUGGUGAAACCCUUUAUGAAGAACUCAGAAAGGUUCUCCCAGCCUUCCAAUCACUGCUGCUAUCCAACUUUGGCCACCAUUUGGAGAGCAGGUUGGAAACAGGAUGGGCAAGAUUGAACAGGAGGAAGGCCAUGCUCCCAUGCAUGUGAAAAGACCAUGGACACACACAAAAGCACACUCAACUGCAUCUUGAUACCUCCCAAAAGCAAACUCCUGCAGAGAACUUCAGGAUGAACAUAUGUUUGCUUCAUUACGGAGCUUAGGAUAUUCUAUACCUAUCUGAACUUCUGAACUAUACAGAUCAGUUAGACGGCUUCAAAUCAUCAUGGUGCUUUUUUAGGAAUUCCAAAUUACUGAUGCUAUAAGGAUUCUGCCAUAUUCUCAUUCCCUUUCUCAUUCCCAAGGGUCCUGAGAAAUUAUGCAUUUGGGUCAUUCCCAAAAUGCAUGAUUUCUCAGGACCCUUGGGAAUCACCAUUGUUAUUUUUUGGGAAUCCUAAAUUACUGAUGCUAUAAGGGUCCUGAGAAAUCAUGCGUUCUACUAGUUUUUAAUUUGGGCAUGGGAGAAAGGUAUUUGAGCACAUAAUGAAAGCCAGAGGCCCUUUCUCUAGUUAACAGUUGUAUAUACACAUACACAAGCAAAGGAGCAAAAUUUUGUGUACAAAUCUCAAAUCUCCCAGAUCUCCUGAAGUCCACCCAUGAUUAUCCUGGUGGGGCAUGAACCCCAGCUGAGAUCAUGUGAUCUAACCAACCCCAUAUUUUUUUAAAUUAAAAAAAUUAAAAACCUGAAGUCCAAAAGGAUUCCAGCAAGAUUAAGUAACUUGCUCAACAAAACACAUUUGUCAACUGGGAACGAAACCCAUAUCAUCUGACUCCUAGUUAAAUUCUAUUUCCCCUAGUAACUUGUUUUUCUGUCUUCCAUUGUCUUCGUGGUAAAACAGGAUGUUACUUGCCUACUUCAUGGGAUUCUUAGAUGGAAUAUUUACUAAAACUUUUGCACAUCAUAAAUAUUUGGGCCAGACAUAGUGGCUUACACCUGUAAUCUCAGCACUUUGGGAGGCCAAAAAAUAGGAGGAUUACUUGAUUCCAGGAGUUUGAGACCAGCCUUGGCAACAUGGUGAAACCGCAUCUCUACAAUACAAAAAUUAGCUGGGUGUGGUGGCACAAGCCUGUAGUCUCGGCUACCCAGGAGACUGAGGCGGGAGGAUCAUCUGAGCCCAGGAGGCAGAGGUUGCAGUGAGCAGAGAUCGCACCACUGUACUCCAGUGCACUCCAGCUCAGGCAACAGAGUGAGACCCUGUCUCAAAAAAUAAUUAAUUAAUUAAUAUUUGCAAGUAAUUCCUCCCCACAAAACUUGAAUGUUUGUCAUUAUUUGCAUGAUAUUAAUAACAGCUACCCUCAUUACAGAUGAAUUAGGCAAAUCAUCUUUUUUAAAAAAAAAAAAAACCUUGUAGUGUUAUUAUUACUAGGCAAAUAGUCGUUAGUAUACAACAGUUCUUACAUUGUGUACUCAGAUUUGGUUAUGAUAAACUCAACACAGCUACAGCCUAAAUGAAUUUAUAUAAAACACUGACAGAGGCUAAAGUUAUUAUAGCUUUAGUCCCAUUUCUAUUUAGAAGAGUGUAGAAAUAUUUUUCCUCAGGAGAAAAAAAAUGAAAUGUAGACAUGAUUUGGGGUUUGGGGGGUGUUUCGUGUUUGGUUUUCCCAGGUGCCCCAAAUUAAACUAACUCACACUUUCUGGCUAUCACUCAAACUGAGUUGACUUGGCUACUGCUUUCCCAGAUCCUCUAAAAACUAAAGGAUUUUCUUCUGGCAUUUUAAUCAGUGAUUAACUACUCCCUUCUUUUUCCUGCUGGGUUAAGUAAAAGAUCCAUAUGCUGGGUGUUCUAGGGAAUUUGUUAGGCUAUAGAUCACAGCCGUGGUGCCAGCCAUGAUGUGUCUCAAGGGAACUAAAGAAGCCAUAAGGAAUGUCAAGAGUCACCGGGUUAAAGCCACAUUAAGACAGCUGUUACGUUAAUGAAGGCCCUGCUUCGAAGAGGAGGUCACUAUAUGGAAAAGUAUGAACUACUGUUUAUUGGUUUGAUCCCAUGUCCUCUGAAAGUUAAUGGGCCAUUAUUAUUAUCCUUUGACAUUCAUUGAGCCAGAUGAGAAUGCUGGGUGCUGUACAAGCUACAUGGGUUUGAAAUAUAUUCUGUCUCCAUCCUUAGUUUUGACAAAGGCAGGAAUGAAAGAGAACAACACCGAACACUCCUCAGUUUUCCAUCACACUCCUUGUCUGAUCUAUUUACAAUAAAUGUUUAUUUUUCCUUACUCACAUUGAGUUCAGAGCUGAUACUCGGCCUAUUUUAAAAAUAGAUCUAGUGCCAGUGGCUCACACCUGUAAUCUCAACACUUUGAGACGCUGAGGAGGGAGGAUCACUUGAGUCCAGGAGCUCAAGACCAACCUGAGCAACAUAGCAAGACCCCAGCUCUACAAAAAAAUAGAAAAAUAAUUAGCCAGACAUGGUGGCACACAUCUGUAGACCCAGCUACUCUGGAAGCUGAGGUGGAAGAAUCACUUGAGCUUGGAAGAUCGAGGCUACACAGUGAGCCAUGAUUAAGCCACUGUACUACAGGCUGGGCAACAAAGUGAGACUCUGUCUCAAAAAACAAACAAACAAACAAACAAAAAAGCAGAUCUAGUAGGUGGGCUUGGCCAGUUACAGAGGACAGGUACCAAAUCCUGGAAUAUAGUGGCCACUCAAAAGAGGCAUGAUUGGACCUCACAUAACAUUUGCAGGUAAUUGCAGAACUAUAAUAAAAGCAAAGUAGAUUUGAAACAUAUUAUUUAUAACAUUGUUAUAUAUAAUAUACUAUUAUAUGAUUUAAUUUGUCUGCCCUUUUGAUUGUGAUACAGAUUUUUUCUCUGCACUGUUAUAUUAAUAUGCAUGUUAAUAUCAUAACAUUGAUAUAGUAAUAUUAAUGUUAUGUUAAUAUAAUAUUUAUAUAGUAUUAUAUAAUAUUACUAUAUCAAUACUGUAUUAAAAUAUUUUUCUAUUGAAAUAUUAUGACUUAGUUAAUAAAGGUUAUUUCUACACUGUGUGGUGGGGAGAAACACUCUGUUUCCCAAUGAUAAUAGGUUUCCCAACUUUAAAACACCAGCUCUGUGAACCUUGGUCUAUCUACAACUCUUCCUUUCACUCACCUUCCUCCCCACUUCUAGAUUACACAAUCGGUUGUCCAUUCUACCUCUGAAUACCUUCACCACCAUCUCUUCCUUGCCAUUCCCACUGCCACUACCUAUCUCAUGCCAUAGCCCCCACUCCCUGUCACAUCAAAUGUGAGCUCACUGGCCUGAAACCCAAGACCUCCAUAGGAUAUCCUCAGCCUACCUACCAAACCCUAUUUCUUCCACCACCCUACCACUCCUUACAUUCUAAUCAAACUAACUAUUCUCCCAAUAUGACUAGAGUGAAAAAGAAAGGUUAUCUUACGUGUAGCCCACCACUUCUACCUCUCUGUGCCUCUGCUCAUAUAAUUCCCUAUUACUAAUAUACUCUCCUUAUGCACCUGGUCCAGUGAAUAUCUAUCUAGCCCGGAAAGUUCAUCUUAAAUCUGCCCUCUGGGCCCAGCACAAUGGCUCAUGCCUAUAAUCCCAGCACUUUGGGAAGCCAAGGCAAGUGGAUCGCUUGCACCUGGGAGUUCAAGAAGAGCCUGGGCAACAUGGCAAAAUCCCAUCUCUUCAAAAAAUUAUCCAGGCAUAGUGGCAUGCACCUGUAGCCCCAACUAUCUGGGAGGCUGAGGUGGGAGGAUCACCUGAGCUCAGGAGGUGUAGGCUUCAGUGAGCUGUGAUUGUACCACUGUACUCCAACCUGGGCUACAGAAUGAGACCCUGUCUCAAAAAAAAAAAAAAUUAAAUCUGCCUUCUUCAUGUACCUCUCUUCAUUCCUUCAAGAUCUCAUCCCUUGAGUUCAUGUCCUUUGCAGGGACAUGGAUGAACCUGGAAACCAUCAUUCUCAGUAAACUAACACAGGAACAGAAAACCAAACACUGCAUGUUCUCACUCAUGAGUGAGAGUUGAACAAUGAGAACACAUGGACACAGGGAGGGGAAAAUCACACACCAGGGCCUGUUGGGGGGUGGGGGGCUAGGGGAGGGAUAGCAUUAGGAGAAAUACCUAAUGUAGAUGACGGGUUGAUGGGUGCAGCAAACCACCAUGGCACGUGUUAUACCUAUGUAACAAACCUGCCCCUUCUGCACAUAUAUCCCAGAACUUAAAGUAUAAUUUUUUAAAAAAAGGUUGGGCAUGGUGGCUCAUACCUGUAAUCCCAGCACUUUGGGAGGCCAAGGCGGCCAGAUCACGAGGUCAGGAGUUCGAGACCAGCCUGACCAACAUGGUGAAACCCCAUCUCUACUAAAAAUACAAAAAUGAGCCGGGCCUGGUGGCAAGCACCUGUAAUCCCAGCUACUUGGGAGACUGAGUCAGGAGAAUCGCUUGAACCCAGGAGGCAGAGGUUGCAGUGAGCUGAGGUUGUACCACUGCACUCCAGCCUGGGUGACAGAGUGAGACUCCACCUCAAAAAAAAAAAAAAAAAAAAAUCUCAUCCUUUCCUCUUCUCAACUCCCAUUGCACUUUUUCUCUUUCUGCACUUAUCAUGUCUGUGUUAUUUUUAAAUUAUUUGUAUGUUUAUUUUUUUACCUUUCUUAGAUUGCAACUCCUUCAGAGAACUGUCUUAAUUGAUCUUAGCAUUCCUUGACUUUCCUAGCACUAUGAUGAUCAUAUGGAAGUUUGAAGAAAACAAUCUCUCUGACUGAGCUCUGCAGCCUGGAAGAGGCUAUUUCUGUAAAAUUCUGUAAUAGGAGAGUUAAUUAGCUGCAUCUAUGAACGUGUUGAUCAAUCUAGGGACCAUGUCAACUGACUAGUCCACUGCUGAGUCCCCAGCCUGCAAAUUAAGAAUCUGGAAAUAACACACAAUAUUUGCAGACAAGGUGACUUAACUUCUAGGGUGGUGAGGAGUUCGAGGAUACCCUACGAUAUCUGCCAUCUUUCAAACACUGUUUUACUAGCUCCAGGAAGUAGUUCUUCAUUAAUGAUGAAAACAUUAUUCUAUACUCUAUAGAAACAUAUUACAUCUAAGUAGCCUUUCCAGAAGGUUCAGAGCACCUCUAAGAGUUCAAAAGAUAAUUCAACAUGUUCUUUAAGUAAUAUAAUUUCUUGAAAUGCUUCUUAAUUAUAAAAUCGUUAAAUGAAGGAAUUUCAUGUUAUGCACCUUUGCACAUUUUCAUAAUUGAAAGGUCACAGAGAUGAAGCGUAUGGGAUCCAAUUAUCUCUAGACUCACUUUGCAGCUAUGCCACCUUGGGUAGUUACUUAUAUAGUCCAAGUCUCAGUUUCCUUAUUUGUAAAUGGAGAGUAGCAAUCAUGGUACCCACCUAGGAUUUUAAUAAUGAUUCAAUGGGUUAAUUCAUGUGAAGCACUUAAAAUAGUGGCUGGGACAGAGUAACCACUCAAAAUUUAUUUGCUCUUACUUGUGUAUCACCCCCAAAGUCCAUAUAGUGCUGGUGUACAAUAAGGAUUCCUGAAAAGUUGAGUUAGUCACAUGAAGUGGUGGACUUCUGUGUGUCGUAAAUGAUAUAGUUGUAUUCUGUCAGUAAAUAAUCAAAGUCCUAACAAUAUGCAUCCCUAGUAAAGGGCCAUUCCUAAUACAUUUUUGGGGGGGAUUGACAUAUGUUUUAGAUGAGAAGAUGCUUGUUUGUUUCCUGUCUGGACUGAAGUAGGACACGGAG